rnacentral:rRNA from 1 species
UACGUAGGGGGCGAGCGUUGUCCGGAUUUACUGGGCGUAAAGCGCACGCAGGCGGUCUGCUAAGUUUGGAGUGACAGUUGGUGGCUUAACUGCCAAAGUGCUUCGAAAACUGACAGACUUGAGGGCUUCAGAGGGACACGGAAUUCCGGGUGGAGUGGUGAAAUGCGUAGAGAUCCGGAGGAACACCAAAGGCGUAGGCAGCGCCCUAGACGAGACCUGACGCUCAGGCACGAAAGCGCGGGGAGCGAACAGG